rnacentral:rRNA from 1 species
UACAGAGGGGGCAAGCGUUGUUCGGAAUUACUGGGCGUAAAGGGCGCGUAGGCGGCCUUCUAAGUCGAACGUGAAAUCCCGGGGCUCAACCCGGGAACUGCGUCCGAUACUGGAAGGCUUGAAUCCGGGAGAGGGAUGUGGAAUUCCAGGUGUAGCGGUGAAAUGCGUAGAUAUCUGGAGGAACACCGGUGGCGAAGGCGACAUCCUGGACCGGUAUUGACGCUGAGGCGCGAAAGCCAGGGGAGCAAACGGG